rnacentral:tRNA from 1 species
GCGGGGAAACUGGAGGUCACCAGCCCGGGCGGACUGAUAAUCCGUUUGUUGUGGGUUCGAGUCCUACCCCCGGA